GCCCGGGUGGCGGAACCGGCAGACGCGCGGGUUUCAAAAACCCGUGAGAGCAAUCUCGUGAGAGUUCGACUCUCUCCCCGGGCA
rnacentral:tRNA from 1 species